rnacentral:piRNA from 1 species
UGACAACUAACAUAGCAGGUCCCUAU